rnacentral:sRNA from 1 species
UAGAGGAGAACACCGUCACGAACGACGUGAGUGAUUUAGGAUGGGUUCGACGAACUGCCGCCGAGCGAAUGCGAGGGGCGAUACCUUGA